AAAUACUAUUUAUGAAAUACUAUGUGUACUUUUGUAGCAGAGCGAGGUCUUUUUUUAAUGGUAUUUGAAAGAGCGUUGCACUUAACCAAGCGGAGUACUUAGUAGGGAUGUGGAGGAUGGCUUCAU